AACGCGAAGAACCUUACCAGGGUUUGACAUCCUGCGACCGCUCCCUAACAGGAGUUUUCCCGCAAGGGACGCAGAGACAGGUGCUGCAUGGCUGUCGUCAGCUCGUGUCGUGAGAUGUUGGGUUAAGUCCCGCAACGAGCGCAACCCUCGCCUUUAGUUGCCAUCAUUCAGUUGGGCACUCUAGAGGGACCGCCGGCGACAAGCCGGAGGAAGGUGGGGAUGACGUCAAGUCCUCAUGGCCCUUACACCCUGGGCUACACACGUGCUACAAUGGCGGUGACAGUGGGCAGCUACUUCGCGAGAAGCGGCUAAUCCCAAAAAACCGCCCCAGUUCAGAUUGUACUCUGCAACUCGAGUACAUGAAGGUGGAAUCGCUAGUAAUCGCAGAACAGCAGGCUGCGGUGAAUACGUUCCCGGGCCUUGUA
rnacentral:rRNA from 1 species